UUCCUGCAUGUCGGCAUUCAAAAUUAGUGGGUUGUGACACGUUGCUUAUCCUAGCCAUGUGAAUGUAUGAUUGUUUAUUUACUUUUCAGUUUUGAUUUGUGCAAAUAAGAUCAGUUAGAAGCUUGCACAUACCUAACAAAAAACCAAAAAAUAAAAGAAGAAAAAAACACUUGUAGGCUGCCUUGGUUCUACAUAUUUUGGCUGUUGACAUGUGUAACCUUCUUGGCUGUUUCAUGUGUGUGGCCUUCUUGGUUGCAGUUGGUUCCUUACAUUAAUAACCUGAUUUUCCUUUGUACAAUUGUUUUUACAGGGAUUGUUUUGAAUUCUCUCAUUAUCAAAGCAUUCACACUCUUGUAUUGUUGAGAUCUCAAAGUUCGAUCAGGCAGGUUGCUUGUAUGUGCUUUUUAGAAAGUGCAGAUGCUUGUGACUCGGAGAAUACUUGCAGGAUCACUUGUAGCUGGUGGUCCUUUACAGGAUAUUACCAGGAAGAUUGUGUCCUUUACCAUGCCAGGGCCUAGAGCUGUUUGCAUCAUUUCUGCUACAGGUUUAAUUUGAAAUGCUAGACUUAGACAACCUGGUUCUUCUAGGGGCAUAUUGACCAAUGAGG